rnacentral:rRNA from 1 species
AGAGUUUGAUCCUGGCUCAGAACGAACGCUGGCGGCAGGCCUAACACAUGCAAGUCGAGCGCCCGCAAGGGAGCGGCAGACGGGUGAGUAACGCGUGGGAACGUGCCCUUUGGUUCGGAAUAUUCCCGGGAAACUGGGAGCAAAACCGGAUAAGCCCUUCGGGGGAAAGUUUACGCCAAAGGAUCGGCCCGCGUUAGAUUAGGUAGUUGGUGGGGUAACGGCCUACCAAGCCUACGAUCUAUAGCUGAUCUGAGAGGAUGAUCAGCCACACUGGGACUGAGACACGGCCCAGACUCCUACGGGAGGCAGCAGUGGGGAAUCUUGGACAAUGGGCGCAAGCCUGAUCCAGCCAUGCCGCGUGGAUGACUGAAGGCCCUAGGGUUGUAAAGUCCUUUCGACGGGGACGAUAAUGACGGUGCCCGUAGAAGAAGCCCCGGCUAACUUCGUGCCAGCAGCCGCGGUAAUACGAAGGGGGCUAGCGUUGUUCGGAUUUACUGGGCGUAAAGGGCGCGUAGGCGGAUUUUUAAGUCGGGGGUGAAAUCCCGGAGCUCAACUCCGGAACUGCCUUCGAUACUGGAAGUCUGGAGCACGGUAGAGGUGAGUGGAAUUCCGAGUGUAGCGGUGAAAUGCGUAGA